UCUGACACUAGAGUCACUCCUGGUCAUGCUGCUGUUGUCCUGGUGUGCUAGAGCUGUCAUAAAGUGAAAUCUUUGCUUAUUCAUUGACUGUAGUCUUUCUGUGGCCCAGUCAAUCACCGGCUCAGAUACAAGA
ensembl:snoRNA Small nucleolar RNA SNORA3/SNORA45 family